UAGGGUGGGCUCCUGAAGUCAAUGAAA
rnacentral:piRNA from 1 species